rnacentral:sRNA from 12 species
CGUUGCAAAGCCUGCUACUUUGCAACGGGUGAGACCGGCACAGCAGAAACCGGUAGGGCGGGAACG